rnacentral:rRNA from 1 species
GACGAACGCUGGCGGCGUGCUUAACACAUGCAAGUCGAGCGGAAAGGCCCUUUCGGGGGUACUCGAGCGGCGAACGGGUGAGUAACACGUGAGUAAUCUGCCCUGGACUCUGGGAUAGCCACCGGAAACGGUGAUUAAUACCGGAUAUGACACCUUGCUGCAUGGUGGGGUGUGGAAAGUUUUUUCGGUCCAGGAUGUGCUCGCGGUCUAUCAGCGUGUUGGUGAGGUAAUGGCUCACCAAGGCUUUGACGGGGAGCCGGGCUGGGAGGGUGACCGGUCACACUGGGACUGAGACACGGCCCAGACUCCUACGGGAGGCAGCAGUGGGGAAUAUUGGACAAUGGGCGGAAGCCUGAUCCAGCAACGCCGCGUGAGGGAUGACGGCCUUCGGGUUGUAAACCUCUUUCAGUACCGACGAAGCGUGAGUGACGGUAGGUACAGAAGAAGGACCGGCCAACUACGUGCCAGCAGCCGCCGUAAGAC